CCAAACUCUGGAACUGAAAUCCCUACCAAGGCAAAUAUCUAGAGAAGAGAGGUCUAUGGCCGGAGGGAGCAGAGUUAAGCAUAAAUAUGGUAAGGUGGAGGUAGAGCUCGAGAAGGCUCCAAGGGAGGUGCGACAGGGGUGGAGAGUGCUCUCAUUUGGCUCUCUCUUUUCAUGGGACUCGGUUAGGAUUUUGCCCAAUCUCCAAGGUCUUGAUGGACGGAGGAAGAUUGACAACUUCUGACAAGUCAUGCCAAGCCCCUAUUUCCAGCAAUUCUAGGCAUGGAAGGAAGGGAUGGCUGGCUGAUGAUGACAGCUUCAGUACAGCUGUAGACGCCCUGGCCUUACUACUAGACAUUGGAAUUAAUGAUGGCUUAUCCUCCUGCUGACUGAAUAUGAUCAGAAUAAUGUAUUGAGUGGGAUGGCUUCAUUCUGGAUGGGUUGGUAUAAUUCACCCAACCAAACAAAAUGAUCAUUAUUAUUUUGAACCAUUCCAUACAUGAUCCAAAUCAUACAAGCAACCAAACACACCCUAAGUGUCGUCUAAGUCUGCUCGGCAGGCAGUCGGCACAUCCAGUAAUGCUUCUUUCUCUGACAAUGAAGGAGACCGCAUUGCAAAGGAUGUUGAAGCCUGAAGAAAGGCUCAAUUGUGAAUUCGAGUUGGACGUAUAGAGUAGAUCAUCGCCUGCCUAAUCUUUCACCUUUGGGUUAACGACUGUGGCAUAACAUAUCAUUAGAUGCUUGCACCUUCAGUUUAGACCUUGUAAGACAGGAAGAGAACUGGGAGCCAGUGGCAUGAUUUAGCAAUGCAGCAAUCUUAGUGCAAUAAAUGAGAGGUGAUUUAGUUGUAAUAGUCAAUUUACAGUUCCGUUAUCAUGUACUCCUCCCUCCCUCCUUCCUCCAUGCAGCUCCAAGCCUUGAGGGAGUGUGCGUGGAGGGGGGCUUGAGAACCCCCCCUAUAUACCCCACUAGAUUCACCCCAAGCAAUUUCAAGCUAGGUGACAAGUUCCAAAAAUCCAUGGACAAAGUUUGUUGAGCUCUGCACUCGACCAAUAGCAAGCGAUAGGUACACCUUGGUGCAACUUUUAUUCAUCAAGUUGGAAAAUAAAGGCCCCCUCUUCUUGAUCAAGUAUACAUAAGGAUCCGGAAGGAUUAAUUUACUUGUAGGGACGUGAUCUAAUCAUCUUUCAUCUAUUUUUUGAUUCCCUUGAGAUUGAAAACACCGUCCAUAAUCAUAGUAGAUUUAAUAUUGUCACAAUAUAACUAACGCCACCACAUGGAGCAGCUCGCGACCUCUAUGCUUCUUCUUCG
rnacentral:lncRNA from 1 species